rnacentral:rRNA from 1 species
GGCAAACCUACGGGGGGCAGCAGUAGGGAAUCUUCCACAAUGGGCGAAAGCCUGAUGGAGCAACGCCGCGUGUGUGAUGAAGGCUUUCGGGUCGUAAAGCACUGUUGUAUGGGAAGAACAGCUAGAAUAGGGAAUGAUUUUAGUUUGACGGUACCAUACCAGAAAGGGACGGCUAAAUACGUGCCAGCAGCCGCGGUAAUACGUAUGUCCCGAGCGUUAUCCGGAUUUAUUGGGCGUAAAGCGAGCGCAGACGGUUGAUUAAGUCUGAUGUGAAAGCCCGGAGCUCAACUCCGGAAUGGCAUUGGAAACUGGUUAACUUGAGUGCAGUAGAGGUAAGUGGAACUCCAUGUGUAGCGGUGGAAUGCGUAGAUAUAUGGAAGAACACCAGUGGCGAAGGCGGCUUACUGGACUGUAACUGACGUUGAGGCUCGAAAGUGUGGGUAGCAAACAGGAUUAGAUACCCCAGUAGUCCUAAAG